GAUGAACGCUGGCGGCGUGCCUAAUACAUGCAAGUCGAGCGAACAGACGAGGAGCUUGCUCCUCUGACGUUAGCGGCGGACGGGUGAGUAACACGUGGAUAACCUACCUAUAAGACUGGGAUAACUUCGGGAAACCGGAGCUAAUACCGGAUACUAUAUUGAACCGCAUGGUUCAAUAGUGAAAGACGGUUUUGCUGUCACUUAUAGAUGGAUCCGCGCCGCAUUAGCUAGUUGGUAAGGUAACGGCUUACCAAGGCAACGAUGCGUAGCCGACCUGAGAGGGUGAUCGGCCACACUGGAACUGAGACACGGUCCAGACGCCUACGGGAGGCAGCAGUAGGGAAUCUUCCGCAAUGGGCGAAAGCUUGACGAAGCAACGCCGCGUGAGUGAUGAAGGUCUUCGGAUCGUAAAACUCUGUUAUUAGGGAAGAACAAAUGUGUAAGUAACUAUGCACGUCUUGACGGUACCUAAUCAGAAAGCCAGGGCUAACUACGUG
rnacentral:rRNA from 1 species